UACAGAGGGUGCGAGCGUUAAUUGGAAUUACUGGGCGUAAAGCGCGCGCAGGCGGCUUUGCAAGUCGGGCGUGAAAUCCCCAGGCUUAACCUGGGAACUGCAUUCGAGACUGCAUUGCUAGAGUAUGGGAGAGGGAAGUGGAAUUUCCGGUGUAGCGGUGAAAUGCGUAGAUAUCGGAAGGAACAUCAGUGGCGAAAGCGACUUCCUGGACCAAUACUGACGCUCAUGUGCGAAAGCGUGGGGAGCAAACAGG
rnacentral:rRNA from 1 species